AAUCAACGCUGGCGGCGUGCCUCAGACAUGCAAGUCGAACGCGAAAGUCCCCCUCGGGGGACGAAGUAGAGUGGCGCACGGGUGAGUAACACGUAGGUAAUCUACCUUCGGGUGGGGGAAGUAACAAUCGGAAACGGUUGGCUAAUACCGCAUAAUGCAGCGGCACCUAAUGGUGACAGUUGUUAAAGCGGGGGAGUCGCAAGAUCUCGCGCCUGAAGAGGAGCCUGCGGCGGAUUAGCUAGUUGGUAGGGUAAUGGCCUACCAAGGCGACGAUCCGUAGCCGGCCUGA
rnacentral:rRNA from 1 species